rnacentral:tRNA from 1 species
AUUUAAAUAGUUUAAGUAAAAUUUUGAUUUGUGGGGUCAAAGAUAUAAAGGGUUUUAUUUUAAAUA